AUUGAACGCUGGCGGAAUGCUUUACACAUGCAAGUCGAACGGCAGCACGGGGCAACCUGGUGGCGAGUGGCGAACGGGUGAGUAAUAUAUCGGAACGUGCCCAAUCGUGGGGGAUAACGUAGCGAAAGUUACGCUAAUACCGCAUACGAUCUACGGAUGAAAGCGGGGGAUCGCAAGACCUCGCGCGAAUGGAGCGGCCGAUAUCAGAUUAGGUAGUUGGUGGGGUAAAGGCCCACCAAGGCGACGAUCCGUAGCUGGUCUGAGAGGAUGAUCAGCCACACUGGAACUGAGACACGGUCCAGACUCCUACGGGAGGCAGCAGUGGGGAAUAUUGGACAAUGGGGGCAACCCUGAUCCAGCCAUGCCGCGUGUGUGAAGAAGGCCUUCGGUUGUAAGCACUUUGUUGGGUAGAACGGACCGGGUUAACGUACCUCGUUGAUGACGGUACCAAGAAUAAGACACCGGCUAACUCGUGUCCAGCAGCCGCGGUAGAGUC
rnacentral:rRNA from 1 species